CCUACGGGAGGCAGCAGUAGGGAAUAUUGCUCAAUGGGGGAAACUCUGAAGCAGCCACGCCGCGUGGAGGAUGAAGGUUCUCGGAUUGUAAACUCCCUUUUUUAGGGGAGCUAAUGACGGUAUCUGACGAAUAAGAACCGGCUAACUCCGUGCCAGCAGCCGCGGUAAUACGGAGGGUGCCAGCGUUAAUCGGAAUCUAUGGGCGUAAAGGGGGCGUAGGCGGGUUAGCAAGGUAGAUGUGAAAUGCUAGGGCUUAAGCAGAGAACUGCAUGUGAAACUGUUAGACUAGAGUAUGGGAGAGGUAGGCGGAAUUCUUGGUGUAGGGGGAAAAUGCGUAGAGAUCAAGAGGAACACUCAUUGCGAAGGC
rnacentral:rRNA from 1 species